UGAGGAAUAUUGGUCAAUGGGCGAGAGCCUGAACCAGCCAAGUAGCGUGCAGGAUGACGGCCCUAUGGGUUGUAAACUGCUUUUAUGUGGGGAUAAAGUGCGUGACGUGUCAUGCAUUGCAGGUACCACAUGAAUAAGGACCGUCUAAUUCCGUGCCAGCAGCCGCGGUAAUACGGAAGGUCCGGGCGUUAUCCGGAUUUAUUGGGUUUAAAGGGAGCGUAGGCUGUCUAUUAAGCGUGUUGUGAAAUUUACCGGCUCAACCGGUGGCUUGCAGCGCGAACUGGUCGACUUGAGUAUGCAGGAAGUAGGCGGAAUUCAUGGUGUAGCGGUGAAAUGCUUAGAUAUCAUGACGAACUCCGAUUGCGCAGGCAGCUUACUGUAGCAUAACUGACGCUGAUGCUCGAAAGUGCGGGUAUCAAACAGG
rnacentral:rRNA from 1 species